UCGGACAAGGAAGAGGCGUGACAAGGUCAAAGCUAACUGUUGUUAAUAUGUGUAAUAGCAAGAUCUCCAAGUUAGAAGAAGAGCAACAUAAUAUGAAGCUCAAAAUGACUGAAAUGAUGAAUCUACUUAAAGAACACUUGGUUGGUGGUAAAGUGACACCAAGCGAAGGACAGUCUCGCAAUGUACCGCAGUCAAAUAAUGUUCAGUCCCCUAAGAGUGUUGCACUAG